rnacentral:rRNA from 1 species
GACAGAGGUGCCGAGCGUUAGGCGGAAUCACUGGGCUUAAAGCGUGUGUAGGCGGGUGGGCAAGUACCUUGUGAAAUCCCACGGCUCAACCGUGGAACGGCUGGGUAUACUGCCUGUCUUGAGUCAACUAGGGGCGAGCGGAACAGACGGUGGAGCGGUGAAAUGCGCAGAUAUCGGGAGGAACACCGGUGGCGAAGGCGGUUCUCUGGGCCUGUACUGACGCUGAGGAGCGAAAGCGUGGGGAGCAAACAGG